rnacentral:sRNA from 1 species
CUUUUUAACCCAUCCAAUGCCCCUUGUUGCUGCAACCUCAUUUAGAUCUCAUCCUUCUCUUCAUAUAUACAUGCAUACUGCUAUAAGUCUACUGUACGUCUACCACAGCUUGCAGCCAUAAAGCUCUUCGUCCUCUCUCUUUCUACGGCUGUGGAGCUGAAGCAUGGCCUAGCUGAGCUAGCAGCUGGUUCUUGGUUAUAUAAAGAGAGAUAGCUAGGAUCAAGAGAGAGGCAGAUGGCAUGGAGAGGUGUUGCAAUGUGCAUUGGAUGUGUAGAUAGAGCCUGCAGAUCUCGAUCGAUCUCUUCAAGUCCAUGCCAUGCCUUUCCACAGCUUUCUUGAACUUCUCUUGUGCCUCACUCACUUUCAUUACUGGAGAGAUAUGCAUCAUCAGUGGAAGCUUAUAGGGAGAGGAGUGCAAGAAGAGGGUCAAGAAAGCUGUGGGAAGAAAUGGCAUUACAAGGACUUUGAAUUCAGUUAGCAAUGCCAUGAGACAGGCAGAGAGAGAGAGAGAGAGAGAGAGAGAGAGAGAGAGAGAGAGAUGUGAUGCUAAUUUUCCAUUUCAUGUAAGUUAGCUUUUCAUAAUUAGAUCAAGUUUUCUCU